rnacentral:rRNA from 1 species
AUUGAACGCUGGCGGCAGGCCUAACACAUGCAAGUCGAACGGUAACAGGAAACAGCUUGCUGUUUCGCUGACGAGUGGCGGACGGGUGAGUAAUGUCUGGGAAACUGCCUGAUGGAGGGGGAUAACUACUGGAAACGGUAGCUAAUACCGCAUAACGUCGCAAGACCAAAGAGGGGGACCCUCGGGCCUCUUGCCAUCGGAUGUGCCCAGAUGGGAUUAGCUUGUUGGUGGGGUAACGGCUCACCAAGGCGACGAUCCCUAGCUGGUCUGAGAGGAGGACCAGCCACACUGGAACUGAGACACGGUCCAGACUCCUACGGGAGGCAGCAGUGGGGAAUAUUGCACAAUGGGCGCAAGCCUGAUGCAGCCAUGCCGCGUGUAUGAAGAAGGCCUUCGGGUUGUAAAGUACUUUCAGCGGGGAGGAAGGGAGUAAAGUUAAUACCUUUGCUCAUUGACGUUACCCGCAGAAGAAGCACCGGCUAACUCCGUG